GAAUUCGCCCUUAGAGUUUGAUCCUGGCUCAGAACGAACGCUGGCGGCGUGCUUAACACAUGCAAGUCGUACGAGAAACCGGAACUUCGGUUCCGGGAGUAAAGUGGCGCACGGGUGAGUAACGCGUAGGUAAUCUACCCUUGGGUUUGGAAUAACUCGCCGAAAGGCGUGCUAAUACCGGAUAAAAUCUUUCGGAGGGAUCUGGAAGAUCAAAGGUGGCCUCUCCAUGGAUGCUACUGCCUGAGGAUGAGCCUGCGUCCCAUUAGCUUGUUGGUAGGGUAAUGGCCUACCAAGGCUACGAUGGGUAGCUGGUCUGAGAGGAUGAUCAGUCACACUGGAACUGGAACACGGUCCAGACUCCUACGGGAGGCAGCAGUGAGGAAUAUUGCGCAAUGGGGGAAACCCUGACGCAGCGACGCCGCGUGGGCGAAGAAGGCCUUCGGGUCGUAAAGCCCUGUCUAGAGGGAAGAAAUUCUCAAUGGAAUAAUACCCAUUGAGAUUGACGGUACCUCUGGAGGAAGCACCGGCUAACUCCGUGCCAGCAGCCGCGGUAAUACGGAGGGUGCUAGCGUUGUUCGGAAUUACUGGGCGUAAAGCGGGUGUAGGCGGUUUGUUAAGUCAGAUGUGAAAGCCCACGGCUCAACCGUGGAAGUGCAUCUGAAACUGGCAGACUUGAGUACCGGAGAGGGAAGUGGAAUUCCUGGUGUA
rnacentral:rRNA from 1 species